GAUCUGGCUCAGGAUGAACGCUAGCGACAGGCUUAACACAUGCAAGUCGAGGGGCAGCGGGGGUAGCGAUACCCGCCGGCGACCGGCGCACGGGUGAGUAACGCGUAUGCAACUUGCCUAUCAGAGGGGGAUAACCCGGCGAAAGUCGGACUAAUACCGCAUGAAGCAGGGAUCCCGCAUGGGAAUAUUUGCUAAAGAUUCAUCGCUGAUAGAUAGGCAUGCGUUCCAUUAGG
rnacentral:rRNA from 1 species